AAUCUGUAAUGAGGGCACUUCCGUAAUAAUUUUUGUACCUUUCCCAUGCCUUAUAUAAGGACUCAUCAUCCAUUUGUUGGAAAGCAGUGAUCUCGUUCCUUAACUU
rnacentral:snoRNA from 1 species